rnacentral:sRNA from 2 species
GGGCAGCCAUCGCCGAGUCCCCGUCAGGCGCGAGCCUGGGGAGCCGGGGACCCAUGAAGUCCCUGGGGUGAAUCGGAUGCCGUGUCCCGUACGGGACCCCCGGUGUCCGUAGGAGACCUUCCUGCUCCGAACCCGUCAGCUAACCCGGUAGGCGAGAAGGAAGGAAAGG